rnacentral:rRNA from 1 species
AGCAGUAGCCGCGGGAAUACGUAGGGUGCAAGCGUUAAUCGGAAUUACUGGGCGUAAAGCGUGCGCAGGCGGUUAUAUAAGACAGAUGUGAAAUCCCCGGGCUCAACCUGGGAACUGCAUUUGUGACUGUAUAGCUAGAGUACGGCAGAGGGGGAUGGAAUUCCGCGUGUAGCAGUGAAAUGCGUAGAUAUGCGGAGGAACACCGAUGGCGAAGGCAAUCCCCUGGGCCUGUACUGACGCUCAUGCACGAAAGCGUGGGGAGCAAACAGGAUUAGAUACCCCUGUAGUCCCUGUCUCUUAUAC